CUCUGGAAUGAUGCCCCUCAGUGGAGCAGACUUCUAGAAGUUCUGAUUUUAUUGCUCUGCUGCUCUCUCACUUGCCGGGAGCUGGCCCAUUCCCCUGAAGUCUAUCUUCUCGUCACUUUGGAUUCACUUCUCCACAAGUCCCACCUUCUAAACCAGAGAGCAGCAUCUAGGGGAUGAGAACAUCCCCCCGUCGGCAUCCAACAAAGAGCUGAAGACCUCAGACCUCCAAAUUUAAGGAACUGAAUGCAGCCAAUAAUCUGGAUGCAUUUAGGAGUAAAUCCUUCCUCAGAACUGCCAGCUCCAACAAAGCUUGACAAAGAGGAAAAUAAAGUUCAGUUAAGAACCUGAGACUUCAAAUAUCAAAUACCAAAGAUCACAAGCAGGCAGAGAGACAGGCAGAGAGAAGGGGAAGCAGGCU